UGAGCUCGAUGAGUAGGGCGGGACACGUGGUAUCCUGUCUGAAUAUGGGGGGACCAUCCUCCAAGGCUAAAUACUCCUGACUGACCGAUAGUGAACCAGUACCGUGAGGGAAAGGCGAAAAAGAACCCCGGCGAGGGGAGUGAAAAAAGAACCUGAAACCGUGUACGUACAAGCAGUGGGAGCACAGGUUUACCUGUGUGAUGCGUACCUUUUGUAUAAUGGGUCAGCGACUUAUAUUCUGUAGCAAGGUUAACCGAAUAGGGGAGCCGGAGGGAAACCGAGUCUUAAUUGGGCGUUAAGUUGCAGGGUAUAGACCCGAAAC
rnacentral:rRNA from 1 species